AUGGAGAGAAACUACAUGUUCACGGAGAAGAGACAGGAAGAGGAAGAGAGAGCAAUACCUCAAGGAGUCAUCAUCCAUGGAUGCACAGCCGGGCCACCGCGUCCAUCCUCUCGCCACCUGACGCAACAGCUGCUCCUCAAGGAGUCGCUCAUGGAGGCCGCACGCGAGGAGGACGGCGGCGGCCGUGGUGACGACAAGCUGCCGCAAGUGGUGUUUGACCGCAUCCUUCGGCGUCAGGUGGUGUAUGACAUGCUCAAGGACGGGGGCAGGCACAUCGGUGCUCGGCACCGCCUAUUGCUCCUUGUCACCGCCACACAGAUGCAGCAGCUCCCCACAGCCGCACAGAUCCGGCAGCUUCUCACCGCCACAGUUCCUCUUCCUGCAGCUCCUCCUACUCUAGCAGCUCCUCUGGCGGUAAAAAUCAAAUCUUGGGACAACGAAGCAGGGAUGAUGCGAGAGAUGACGCGAGAGAAAGAGGGCAGCGGCGACGUGGUUAAGGGAGAUGCACUGAUGGCCACUGACGCAACGAUGCAGGCGAGGGAGAUGCGGCUGCUACGCGGGCGAGGGAGAUGCGCGGCGAGGCGGGCGAGGGAGAUGCGGCGGCGCCACGGGGGAGGGAGACGU
rnacentral:rRNA from 1 species